UUUUGAAUUUGCUCUGUUUAUGUGCAGCCUGCUGUGUUUUUUGUGAAAUUAAAUUUAGGGGUAAGAUAAACUGGCGAGAUGGCUUACCUGUUAAGCUUACCUUCUAAAUCGUACUGGUAACAUUACUGGAUCAAUCUAAAAUACUAAAGAUGUUACUUUAUCCACCAUCCAACUCUAAUUUUUGUUUCUACUAAAGCUGCUUUACUUGAUAUUAGUACCAUUUAACUUUUCUGAGUGAUUA